AAAAGAAAUAGAUCAAUGAUAAGAAAAUUACCCCUUUUGUAAGGUGCUGAGUGGACUGAAAACAACUAUGAGUGCUUGGAACUGUGGUCAUGACAACCAGUAAAGUCAAUCUUAGUCAAUGAUACCAGUUUGAAGUGGUAUCACUACUGAGCUGAAAUAAAAUGCUAAACUUGAUGAAUUCCUUUUUUCCAUAUAUCAACAGUUAUUUAUUUAUAAUUCAUUGCUAUAGCUAUUGUGUUAUGUGGUUCCUCUCACAUCAUGGCUUUACAGAAGGUUCCAGACCAAACAAUUACAAGUGGGUCAAAAUUUUAUGUAAGUACCUGGAUUUUAUUAAAAAUGAUUUCACAAUUAAUACUCCCAAUUUAUAACCCUUAUUAGAAUCGGGAAGAUUUAAGCAAAGAUGUAAGGAAAUGGACAUUUUGAGUCCUUACUUUCCUUGUCAGUAUAAAGUUCAUUAAUAAUAAGCAACUGCAAUUGUGCUUGUAUUGAUACUUUUAUUUCCAAUUUAAAGAUUGUUUUACAUUUUUAUUUUUUUAGAGACAGUGUCUCGCUCUUUUGCCUAGGUAGGGUGCAGUGGUUUGAUCAUAGCUCACGACAGCCUCAAACUCCUGUCUCAGCCUCCUGAGUAGUCAUAGGUGCACACCACCAUUCCUGCUAAUUUUUAAAAUUUUUGUAGAGACAGGGUCUCGUUGUGUUGUCCAGGUUGGUCUCAAACUCCUGGCCUCAAGCAAUCUUCCUACUUCAACCUCCCAAAAUACUGAGACUACAGGCAUGAGCCCCUGCACUCAGCCCCAUUUAUUUUUUAAAUGAUGGUAAAUGCAUUUAUGGAUGAUUGCCAACUCAUCAAAAUAUGUUUUUUAGACACAGCAUGGUGAUAAAUUAUGACUUACUUUUUAAUUUUUUGCUAAUAAUAGGUGCAUUGUUUUAAGCAGUUUUUAAAUGGUUAAAGUUGACGAUAGGUACUAAGACUUAUAGCUAAUAUUUUUGUAAGCUUACUAUCUACUAUACACUGUUAAGCAUUUAAUUUUCAUUAUCUCAUUUAUAACUUAAACAAUCUUACAAUCUAGGUACCAUUAUUAUUCCCAUUCUACAUAUGAGAAAACAGAGCCUCACAGAAGCUAGUUCAGUUUAAUACUCUAAUGCAUAUUAGAGGGAAAGUAAUUAAUAGAUAUUAGAGUCAAGAUUGAAAUUCGUGCUUGCCUGACCACCAAAAUUGCAUUUAUCUACCAUUAUGCCAUCCUGCUUCCCAUGCAUGGAGAAAAACAAGUUAGAAAAAAUUACUCACAUAGAUUUAUUCUACUAUUUGUCUGUAUAUUCAUAAAUAUCACCAAUAGUUACAAGUCUGGCAGGGUAAGAUGUUUUGUGAAAAGAAGAGAGGCUUUGGAAUGAGGCUCACUGGGUUUUGAUCCUGUAAUCCUCAGCUUGUGUCCCAUUUACCCAUAUGAGGUAAAUCCUCCUAAUUUACCAGGUGCUGUAAAUUAUGAUACUUGCCCUCUGUAAUGCCCACUUACUUCUCCAUAAAAUAGAGGUGAUGUAACUUCCUUGAGGGUUUUUGUGUAAAAUAAAAUAAUGUAUGCACAGUAGCUAGCAAAAAUAGGCACAAAGUAAUUAUUUUUCCUUCUGUUUUUAUAUUUUUCUACUGUGCAUAACUUUCUGCGGAAAGGGUGAACUCAUGUCUUAGUCAUCCCUAAAUCCCUAAAUAUGAACAACUCAGGUCCAACCUUAAAUUUUGGCAUAGUUUUUUGAUAUUUAUCACAAGUUCAUUAAGCACCAUAGUAAAAUUAGGGUUUCAUUUUUUAAAAAAUCACAAAAAAUUGACCUGAAAAUACUUUCAAGUGGUAAAGCUCAGCCCAACUCAUCUGGAUGUUUAUUACAAUCAGUAACAAUUUCAGCAAAGGGAAUCUUGAGGGAAAGAAACUCAGUGCAAGGACCUAAGGGCAAACUGAUGUGCCAGACACAUAGGGGAGUGGAAGGUAGGAAGAGUCAAUGCAAUCCUCAAAGAACUGUUCAAAAUCAGCCCAGGGAAGAACACAUACCUCUCCCAUGCAUUUCUGAUGUUGAAGCAUCUCCUUGUCCUGUAUUGAUGUGUUACUUUCCUGGAUCUUGGAGUGGGAAGAAUAUCCUGAUAACUUUCAAUAUCCUAUGGGUGCCAGGUUUCCAGUGCUCACUUGGUUGUGUUGUGCUGUGCCCAAAGUGUUGCUUCUUCUAUGACCUGAAUCAAGUGUUCUGCAUUAUUCCAAUGUCAGAC
rnacentral:lncRNA from 1 species